rnacentral:rRNA from 1 species
GGAUAAUCUGCCCUCAGGUGAGGAAAUAAUCCCGGGAAAACUGGGGCUAAUGCCUCAUAGGAGACGGGUGCUGGAAUGCUCUGUCUCCGAAAGGUCCGCCGCCUGAGGAUGAGUCUGCGUCCGAUUAGGUUGUUGUUGGGGUAACGGCCCAACAAGCCUUUGAUCGGUACGGGUUGUGGGAGCAAGAGCCCGGAGAUGGAUUCUGAGACAUGAAUCCAGGCCCUACGGGGCGCAGCAGGCGCGAAAACUUUACAAUGCGAGCAAUCGUGAUAAGGAAACCCUGAGUGCCUGUCAAUGCAGGCUGUUCUGGUGUCUAACACACACCAGGAGAAAGGGCGAGGCAAGACCGGUGCCAGCCGCCGCGGUAAUACCGGCUGCUCGAGUGAUAGCCACUUUUACUGGGCUUAAAGCGUUCGUAGCUUGGUCGUUAAGUCUCUGGGGAAAUCUUUUGGCUCAACCAAAAGGCGUCUCAGGGAAACUGACGAUCUUGGAACCGGGAGAGGUAAGACGUACUUCGGGGGUAGGAGUGAAAUCUUGUAAUCCCCGAGGGACGACCGAUGGCGAAGGCAUCUUACCAGAACGGCUUCGACAGUGAGGGACGAAAGCUGGGGGAGCAAACCGGAUUAGAUACCCGGGUAGUCCCAGCCGUAAACGAUGUGCGUUAGGUGUGUCAGUGACCACGAGUCGCUGAGGUGCCGAAGGGAAACCGUGA